GACGAACGCUGGCGGCGUGCUUAACACAUGCAAGUCGUACGGUAAGGCCCUUUCGGGGGUCCACGAGUGGCGAACGGGUGAGUAACACGUGAGUAACCUGCCCACAACUUUGGGAUAACGCUAGGAAACUGGUGCUAAUACUGGAUAUGUGCUCCUGCUGCAUGGUGGGGGUUGGAAAGCUCCGGCGGUUGUGGAUGGACUCGCGGCCUAUCAGCUUGUUGGUGGGGUAGUGGCCUACCAAGGCGGCGACGGGUAGCCGGCCUGAGAGGGUGACCGGCCACAUUGGGACUGGGAUAAGGCCCAGACUCCGACGGGAGGCAACAGGGGGGAAUAUUGCACAAUGGGCGCAAGCCUGAUGCAGCAACGCCGCGGGCGGGAUGACGGCCUUCGGGUUGGAAACCGCUUUCAGCAGGGACGAAGCUUUUUGUGACGGUACCUGCAGAAGAAGCACCGGCUAACUACGUG
rnacentral:rRNA from 1 species